rnacentral:lncRNA from 1 species
CCUUUUUGACCUUGGACUCUCUCUCUCUCCUCCCCCUCAAAGUCGCGUGGUAUAGAAAAUUAGGUUGCUUUAAAGAGAUGAAGGAGUUGGCUUGCUUGCUUGCAUGGCUUUCAUGUGGGCUCUCUCCUCCCCCUAUAUAAACCAGAAGCCAAGUAGGUGGGAAGCAAUGUUGGUUAAUGCUUGAUUCUCAAAAGGGAUUAAGCUUUCCUGCUUCCUUUCUUGCCACAAGUUUCCAACUAAAUCGUCUUUAGGGAUUCGAUGCCUCGUGGUCCAUCACUCCUGGCAGGUGACUGGUGGGUUGAAUUUUCAUUUGUAUGCAUCAAUGUCGGAAGAUCUUAUAAAUUUUGGUUUGCAGUGGAUUUUCUCGUCAACCUUCAGAUUUUCUUUUUUUCAUACUUCGAGUAUUAAUUCUUCAUGGAUGAGUUGCAGUUUAGGUAUACAUAGCUAAUUCUCCUUACAGCUUAUUGAAGUUAAUUUAGAUAUAUAUAUAGCUCUCCUUACGAAAGGCUCCCAAGGCUCUCAUAACAGUUUCACUUCCCCGAUUUAUAGAUAAACCCUGGUGAUUCAAUGAUAUAUACUGCAGAUCAAAAAUAACUUGCUUUCACUAAUUUCAACCCAGAACUCGCCUGAUAGGUUUGUGCAUCAGAUAAGAUAUUUUGAUGCAUGCAUGAGAGACAUUUCCACAUGCACAUGCUUAGCUGUGUUUUGAGAGGAGAACAGAACCUUGAUGGUCGUGAGCUAAGCAUGGUGCUCUUUCUUUCAUGAGUACAACAAUAGUCACGGUGCUGUUUGUAAUUAGAGGGAUGUUAACUGGGGUUCUAUGCUUGUACCAAUGAGGAUUCCUAGCCAUGCCUCUUCCAUACACAUGGAUGACAUGAAAAAUAGAACAAUUUCAGGCUCUGGCAUCCUAUCAUCCUUCUAGUGAUUAUGGUUUUGCAUCUAAAUAUAUAAAACUUUUGCUUCCCAGUUCCGCACUGGAUCAUGCUCAAUAGGUUGACCCUUUUUAAAAUAAUGGUUAUCCAUUCUUUCUGUUAAUAUUUCCUAGCUUAGUUGCACAGUGGUUAGGGGUGCCAUUAGAAAGUAAAAGAUUGCAAAAUGCACACCACAAAUAGGUGGUGCCUCUUGUGCCAACGUAUUGCUUAGAAAAACGUAAUGAUGUUGAACUUCUUGUAAGAGAGCAUCUUAGGCGCUGCUGAAUGCUGAUGCAAGAAAUAAGCUAUUGUGAAUUUAGUAUGGUUAUGGUUGUGUAGUCGAUAAAGAUAAUAGUAGCAAUUGCAUGCAGCAGUAGUUCUGUGCUGUUCUUGUUGUUAUGCACAUGCUGUUAUUGCUGCAAUUGAUGUUUUGUUGUUCUUAAGCUGGAGAUAUUAUGUUACUUUGCUUCAAUCAAAAAAAAAAAGAAUUAUGUUAAUUUGUAUUUCUUUUUGCACUGAAUCAGUUAAGUGUAAAUCAUCUGUUACGUGGAGUGCGGCAAAGUUUGAAGUCCUAUUUACUCUGCCCAAUAUGUCAUUCUGGCUAUUUUAUUAUCGGCUUACUCUAAAGAAAAUGAUUCUUACCGUAUCAGUUCCCAAAGAUAGAUUUGAGAUAAGAUUCAUCAGGCUAUUAUGUCCUGUGCUAUCCAAGGUGUCAUUUUCUUGAGGAGGUAAGGUGGGAAGCCUCUUUCUCUUGAUUAUACUUGCUCUUUUCCGGUAGUCGAAGAUAGAGUGUUACUACCUACUUCUUUUAAAAAUUAAUUAACAAAAAAAAUUCAUGAGGUGUAAUUUCAUUGUAAUGUUUGUAAAAACAUUUAUUCUGCAUAAAUUCAUUUGAUCUUUUAUAAAUGUUUCUUAUAGUGCGAAUUCAUGUUAUACUACUAGAAUAUUAUGUUAAGAUAGAUAUAACUUGACGUCCAAAACAUAAAUAUGUAUUACAAAAUGGACAAACAACUUAUUACUUGUGAGAGUGUUAAUAAUUUUAUUUUAAGAUGAUCUUUUUGCCACUGGAAGAAUCUUAUCGUGUUUAUUUCAUUCUUUAUACAAAAAAGUAAAAAAAAGUGCAGAAGUUCCAAGUAGAUUAGUUUGGAGUGGUAGGCAUAUAAUGUGCAAUAGUUUAGAAAAAAAAUCAUGUCUUUUGUUAUCAGAGUUUAAAUUUCAGUAGUAGAGCUCAAUCAAUAUGGAAGCAUGUCAUGAACCUGCACUCUUUGGAACACUGUUUCCUUACAGACAAAAAAUGCAUCUAGUUGGAUUUCAAAUAACCUGCUACAAGCUACAACUGUAAACAACACUCUUGUAUCGUUGCUGAUUUAGUCUUAAUUACCUAGGACAUAUAUUCGAUUCUAUUUUAUUUUUUUUAAGAUUUCCAGUUUCUGACUCUCAUACCUCUUUCCAGAGCAAGCAGCAUUUGCAGUACUCCUAAUCUUUAAUUUCCUUUCUUUCAUUCGUUCUUUUUGUUAAUUUAAUUUGGCCAUUGUUUUGAAACAACUAAAAUUUUCUCGAAUUUUAUCAGUAUUUAUUAACUGUUGCUUAAUUCUGCGCACAAGACAUAUAUAUUCCACAAUAAAAGCUGAUUUGGCCGUCGAAACCCUAAAGUCCAUCACACAUCCCCUUAUUCAAUUAAGUAAUAUCAUCUAGUACUACAAAUGUCCGAAGCACAACUGACACUACAAAUUUCAGUCGCUUAUGUACAAAAACCAUAUUCAUGCCUUGUUCAUCUGAUUGAUAUCAAAUUAUCUAAGAUCACUAAUUAUAUAUGCUUCUAAUUCUUCUACCAUUAUAUUAUUGCUUCACUUCAAUAGAUCUAUUUGGCAGCUUGAGGUGGAUGUUGAAGCAUAUUCCACAGCCACUUCUUGUUUAUCAGAAACUUGAAGAAUUUCAGCUGCAUCUGAAUAUUCAGGUCCUUUUGAUACAUCAUGGCUAAGCUGAGAAGCAACAAACUUGUCAAGA